CCUACGGGGGGCAGCAGUGAGGAAUAUUGGUCAAUGGACGAGAGUCUGAACCAGCCAAGUAGCGUGAAGGAUGACUGCCCUAUGGGUUGUAAACUUCUUUUAUAUGGGAAUAAACUGUUCCACGUGUGGGAUUUUGUAUGUACCAUAUGAAUAAGGAUCGGCUAACUCCGUGCCAGCAGCCGCGGUAAUACGGAGGAUCCGAGCGUUAUCCGGAUUUAUUGGGUUUAAAGGGAGCGUAGGUGGAUUGUUAAGUCAGUUGUGAAAGUUUGCGGCUCAACCGUAAAAUUGCAGUUGAAACUGGGAGUCUUGAGUACAGUAGAGGUGGGCGGAAUUCGUGGUGUAGCGGUGAAAUGCUUAGAUAUCACGAAGAACUCCGAUUGCGAAGGCAGCUCACUGGACUGCAACUGACACUGAGGCUCGAAAGUGUGGGUAUCAAACAGGAUUAGAUACCCUUGUAGUC
rnacentral:rRNA from 1 species